AAUGGAAGUGCGUGCUAGGCAGCUACAAACAGCAGAUACUGAUGCCAGGCCUGGGCCCCUCUGUUCAGAGUUGCCCUGCACCAGUGCACAUGUUAGUCCUGGAUAACUGGGAACUCAAAACAAGACGGCUGUCACUCACCAGAAGCUCAAACCCAGGGAGGAGGACAAGCCUUGAAAUGAGCCAGCUCUCCACUUUCCAGAAGCCCAGCUCCCUUUACCCCCACAACCAGGAGGUUCGGGCCUCAGUGCCUCCUGGACAGAGCAGAUCCGCCCUGGGGCAACUGUUGGGUCAAAACUGGAACAUUCAUCUUUAACUUACCCAUGUAAUGAUCUCAAGCCUGCCUACCACCACCUGCAUGCUACCUGCUACAUGUGAACUGUCUGUCCCUCAGUCACAGCAUUUUUCCAGUCACAGAAGCUAUUCAUUCAGGCAUUCAUCUAUCAGGUA
rnacentral:lncRNA from 1 species